AUGAACGCUGGCGGCGUGCCUAAUACAUGCCAGUCGCGCGAACAGACGAGGAGCUUGCUCCUCUGACGUUAGCGGCGGACGGGUGAGUAACACGUGGAUAACCUACCUAUAAGACUGGGAUAACUUCGGGAAACCGGAGCUAAUACCGGAUAAUAUAUUGAACCGCAUGGUUCAAUAGUGAAAGACGGUUUUGCUGUCACUUAUAGAUGGAUCCGCGCCGCAUUAGCUAGUUGGUAAGGUAACGGCUUACCAAGGCGACGAUGCGUAGCCGACCUGAGAGGGUGAUCGGCCACACUGGAACUGAGACACGGUCCAGACUCCUACGGGAGGCAGCAGUAGGGAAUCUUCCGCAAUGGGCGAAAGCCUGACGGAGCAACGCCGCGUGAGUGAUGAAGGUCUUCGGAUCGUAAAACUCUGUUAUUAGGGAAGAACAAAUGUGUAAGUAACUAUGCACGUCUUGACGGUACCUAAUCAGAAAGCCACGGCUAACUACGUG
rnacentral:rRNA from 1 species